UACGAAGGGUGCAAACGUUGCUCGGAAUCAUUGGGCGUAAAGCGCACGUAGGCGGCUUGCCAAGUCGGACGUGAAAUCCCUCAGCUCAACUGAGGACGUGCAUCCGAAACUGGCGAGCUUGAGUGCUGAAGAGGAUCGCGGAAUUCCCGGUGUAGAGGUGAAAUUCGUAGAUAUCGGGAGGAACACCAGUGGCGAAGGCGGCGAUCUGGGCAGACACUGACGCUGAGGUGCGAAAGCGUGGGGAGCAAACAGG
rnacentral:rRNA from 2 species